rnacentral:lncRNA from 1 species
UGGGCGAUCCGGUAGGAUCCUUCGUGCGGGCGGUGGGGAACGUUCUUCGGACUAACCUCUGUGUCGCCGCUGCCCGGGCCGGCGCUAAUGAUGGACCGGGAGUCGGGAUGCGCGGCGACGGGAGAAACCGAGGCAGCGGCCGCCGCGGCGUUCGGAGACACAACACGACAGCUGAGUAACGAAAGAGGCUUUGAGAAUGUAGAACUGGGAGUCAUGGGGAAAAAGAAGAAAGUCCCAAGGAGGGUCAUCCACUUCGUCAGCGGAGAGACCAUGGAGGAGUACAGCACCGAUGAGGAUGAGGUCGACGGCCUGGACAAGAAAGAUGUGCUGCCCACUGUCGACCCGGAAGAGGAGGAAGAAGAAGAAAACAGGAUGUCAGAGGAAGCAGAAAGACAAUACCAACAAAACAAGCAGCAGGCUGAUUCCAUGGUACAGACAGAUCAACCAGAGACAGUAGUGUCCAGUUCAUUUGUGAACAUUAAUUUUGAGAUGGAGGAAGACUGCGAAGCAAUUAAGGAAAACAAACAACAUCCAGUC